GAAAACUUAUUGACUCGAGUAUAAGACUAGGGUGGGAAAUGCAGCAGCUACUAGUAAAUUUCUAAAUAAAAUUAGAUCCCAAGAAAUUAUAUUAAUUUAAUAUUUAUUUACAGUGUGUGUAUAUAAUGAAUGCAGUGUGUGUGUAUAUAAUGCAGAGUGUGUGUGUGUGUGUAUGAAUGCAGUGUGUAUGAAUGCAGUGUGUGUAUAUAAUGCAGUGUGUGUGUAUGAAUGCAGUGUGUGUAUAUCAUGCAGUGUGUGUAUAUCAUGCAGUGUGUGUGUGUGUAUAUAAUGCAGUGUGUGUAUGAAUGCAGUGUGUGUGUGUAUGAAUGCUGUGUGUGUAACCUUGGUGGGGGGUGGGC